AUUGAACGCUGGCGGCAGGCCUAACACAUGCAAGUCGAGCGGAUGAAGGGAGCUUGCUCCUGGAUUCAGCGGCGGACGGGUGAGUAAUGCCUAGGAAUCUGCUUGGUAGUGGGGGAUAACGUCCGGAAACGGGCGCUAAUACCGCAUACGUCCUGAGGGAGAAAGUGGGGGAUCUUCGGACCUCACGCUAUCAGAUGAGCCUAGGUCGGAUUAGCUAGUUGGUGGGGUAAAGGCCUACCAAGGCGACGAUCCGUAACUGGUCGGAGAGGAUGAUCAGUCACACUGGAACUGAGACACGGUCCAGACUCCUACGGGAGGCAGCAGUGGGGAAUAUUGGACAAUGGGCGAAAGCCUGGUCCAGCCAUGCCGCGUGUGUGAAGAAGGUCUUCGGAUUGUAAAGCACUUUAAGUUGGGAGGAAGGGCAGUAAGUUAAUACCUUGCUGUUUUGACGUUACCAACAGAAUAAGCACCGGCUAACUUCGUG
rnacentral:rRNA from 1 species